UGCCCGGAGGCUCCAGCAGAGAUGCUGUGGGGAGGCCAGCUGAGGGCCAAAGGGUGGGAUGAAGGCCUGAUCUUUUGGGAUGGCAAAUCAUCCUAUGAAGCCUGGUAAAGCUAAGCAGCUUGAUGCUGCUCCGUUCUUAUGAAUUCCUGCAGGAACCUCACCUGGAGACCAAGUUCAAACUCUUGAAUUUCUAUAGUUUAAAUCCCAGACUGAAAUCUUCGUGUUUCAUUUUGUGAAAGUUUCCAGAGAAAUUAAGUUGUCAGUUGUGUGUGUAUUUAUAUACACUCAAAUUUGGGCAUGCAAGAUGCUAGACAUUUCUCUCAAAGAUUGCUCUGCUGAAGUCCGUAAUUUCUGCUGCAAGGUAGAAGGAAACAGAUUAGUCUCCAUACAACACAAACCGUGAGAGGAAGCCUUCGCUAGUCUUGAGAUUGUGAUCUAGACAUAAACAGUAAUUUGGUUCCAGCACUAAAAUAUACACCAAGCUGAAAUUUGGUUUUAUUGCUGCAGGCAAAAAGUUGUUCAUAUGAUUUGUAACUACCUAAAUAACUACCUCUUUUAACUCCCUGUUUAAGGAUUUAUGAAGAUUUAUUCAUUGUCAUCUCAGUUUGACAAUCUGACAAAAAUGGCCAUUUAACUUCAGUGUUCCUGUUAAUUUGUCUAUUUGCUCUGGUUUUAACCUCUGUUUGACUAGUUUCUAAGUCUCAUUUAGAUUAAUAAUGUUAAUAGCCAUUUAGCCUUAAUAGCUUUGUAACUCAAAGCUCACUGAGAAUUACCUCUACUUCAUGGUUAAUGAAUAGGAUAAUGAGCCCGAUUAAAAUAAUUAAGACUAGUGGUAACAGCACUGGUAAAGAAUAUGGUUAAAAAAAUAGACGGUUUUCCUCCUGGCUCUUAGCUGUUAAAGUCAUAUACAAAACUGGGAAUCAUGUGCCUUUUGUCAUAUUAAGCCACCUCCUCUGUCUGCUCCUCAAAGACACUGCACCCUUCAGCUUUGCCAGCCACUCUUUGUACAGCCAAUCUGUUUGUGUCUUCUCCAUCUCCUUGCCCUCCGUUGCCUUUUCUCCUUCCCCCUGCAUCUCUAGCAUUUUGCUUUGUGAGCUGCUGACUGUUGCUGUGUCCAGGGUAAUCAUGAGGUGAACCGGAGUGCCAGAAAUUUGUCUUUUUGCCUGCUGCCAUGAAAGUGCUGCUCUGUUUUCCCUCAGCCCAAUUGUGCAAUAUGAGACAGGGUUUGCUCGUAAGUUUGUUGUUUUCAUUUUAUCCUGUUCCUUUGUUUUCUCUUAUCAACUUAAUACUUCCCUAGUAAAGCUGUCAGAUCAGCUUUUGACUUCCACACUCUGGUUGGUGAGCUCCUAUGUAAAGGUCGGAGCAGCAGGUUGCUGUGGCAGAAGGAAAGAAGUGUU
rnacentral:lncRNA from 1 species